AGGAACUGCAAGCAACAGCGAUUGCCUGAGUAACUGCGAGUGAACUGGCACGGACUCGUCCCUCAAGGAUGCCUGCAGGUCGGCUUCCCAGCGGCUGUCAUGUAUUCCCUUAUGUGCAAGAACGUCCAUGCUGUGGGUGGAAUCGGAGCUGUCAGAUCAAGCCUUGUGUGAUUCCCUGGUUGCAGUGCCAGGAAGGUGCCCUGGAAAGGACCACCAGAGCAGGCGACUGUCCCCUACGUUCGAUCAUGUGCGCUGCUGCUGCCCUGGCUGCCUUCCGGCAGUAUCCAGGAGUAGAGCUGCUUGGGAGUGCAGUUUGAAGCGCAAGGUGUAUCCCUUGCAAGGUGCCCCUGCGAUGAGCAACUAUCACUGUGAGACCGAUAGUGCACAAGUAGAGUGAUUGAAGGAUGCAAAGGACUCUGCAGAGAGGGUUAAAAAGUCCCUGAAGCCUUGGCAGAUUCGGCGGAAUAUGGAGCUGUGGACACGUCCCCCUGUCGGCGUGGCCAAGUGACCGUGGGUCGGCCCACACUGGCUACUUCUACAGAGCCCACCUUCUGAGCAUAUGCUCCAGAUCGGUGGAUGAGGCUCCAAUGCCGGCCUCGUAGCAGUGUGUGGUGGCAAGCAUGCCUUUCCAGGACCUGCGGCUGUGAUUGAGAUAUGUACGAGUUUGCUUGCGACUGCUGGUGCGUCUUCGGGCGUGCCAGCUCGCCGGACGCAGCACGGCUGUGUAUGGCGGUUGUGUGGGAGCUCCGUUGCGCUUCGCAGCGGCUGCCGCGCAGCUUGUUGUACUCCCGCGCUGUCUCGUUCGGUGCGACGGUUCUGCAAGAGCUUGGUGCGGCGGCACCAGUGCUCUGCCCGUCUUGAAACACGGACCAAGGAGUCUAUGGAGCUUGCAGGCUGGCGGGUGUCACCAUGAAAAGCCCCCAGGGCGCUGGUCAAGGCGAUAGUGUGACACCACCACCUCUUCUCCAGAUGGAUGGUUGCUUAUGAUGAUGGUGCUGCUGCAUGGAACACCGGACCUAGCGUCCGUCGGACAAGGAUUCGAGUGCUGGCAAGGUCCAUGGGACCCGAAAGGUGGUGAACUAUACCAUUCCAUGACGAAGCCAUGGGAAACUGUGGUGGAAGUCAGUCGCUGUCCUGACGUGCAAAUUGUGUAGUCCAAGUGUGGCAUAGGGGUGAAAGGCCAAUCGAACCACCUAGUAGC
rnacentral:rRNA from 1 species